rnacentral:rRNA from 1 species
UGGGGAAUAUUGCACAAUGGGCGCAAGCCUGAUGCAGCCAUGCCGCGUGUGUGAAGAAGGCCUUCGGGUUGUAAAGCACUUUCAGCGGGGAGGAAGGCGUUAAGGUUAAUAACCUGGCGAUUGACGUUACCCGCAGAAGAAGCACCGGCUAACUCCGUGCCAGCAGCCGCGGUAAUACGGAGGGUGCAAGCGUUAAUCGGAAUUACUGGGCGUAAAGCGCACGCAGGCGGUCUGUCAAGUCGGAUGUGAAAUCCCCGGGCUCAACCUGGGAACUGCAUUCGAAACUGGCAGGCUAGAGUCUUGUAGAGGGGGGUAGAAUUCCAGGUGUAGCGGUGAAAUGCGUAGAGAUCUGGAGGAAUACCGGUGGCGAAGGCGGCCCCCUGGACAAAGACUGACGCUCAGGUGCGAAAGCGUGGGGAGCAAACAGG